ensembl:snRNA
GUGUUGUGUGAAAGAAAAGAAGGUUAGCACUCCCUCUGACUAGGAUGGAAGAGGCCCUUGGGCCUGACAACACACAUAUGGUUAAGACAUUGCCCCCUACUUCGUGGCAUUUAACCUUCAUAAUAA